rnacentral:rRNA from 1 species
UACGAAGGGGGCUAGCGUUGCUCGGAAUCACUGGGCGUAAAGGGCGCGUAGGCGGCGCGAUUAGUCGGCGGUGAAAGCCCGAGGCUCAACUUCGGGUCGGCCGUCGAUACUGCUGCGCUGGAGCACUGUAGAGGCAGAUGGAAUUCCGGGUGUAGCGGUGGAAUGCGUAGAGAUCCGGAAGAACACCGGUGGCGAAGGCGGUCUGCUGGGCAGUUGCUGACGCUGAUGCGCGAAAGCGUGGGGAGCAAACAGG